rnacentral:rRNA from 1 species
AGCGAACAUUGGCGGUAGGCUUAACACAUGCAAGUCGAGCGAGGCGUAAUAGUCGAGCGGCGAACGGGUGAGUAAUACAUGGGAAUCUACCCUGAAGUGGGGGAUAACGUUCAGAAAUGGACGCUAAUACCGCAUAAUCCACAUUGGGAAAGCGUUGCAGCGCUUUAGGAUGAGCCCAUGGCUGAUUAGCUAGUUGGUGAGGUAAUGGCUCAACAAGGCGACGAUCAGUAGCUGGUCUGAGAGGAUGAUCAGCCACACUGGAACUGAGACACGGUCCAGACUCCUACGGGAGGCAGCAGUGGGGAAUCUUGCGCAAUGGGGGCAACCCUGACGCAGCCAUACCGCGUGAGUGAUGAAGGUCUUCGGAUUGUAAAGCUCUUUCGGCGGGGACGACGAUGACGGUACCCGCAAAAGAAGUCACGGCUAACUUCGUGCCAGCCGCCGCAGUAA